rnacentral:lncRNA from 1 species
UUUGUUGCUUUCAUUAUGAUGUCCUCUUUCCUUUAGCUGGCUCCAAGAGUGUGAUCUGCCUUAGCUGUGAGAUGAGAUGAAGCUUGGUAGCCGGAAGUCACAUGGUAAUUGAGGAUAAAAGGAAAUGCGGAUUAGAAUUAUAAAGGCUUAUCUGCUGGAAUCCCAUCCAAGGUUGAAGCUAAUCAUGCUUUAAUGCCAGUGUGAAGCCUAGAACAUUGCGAUUGGUCCUGUUAAGCGAGGCACUU